rnacentral:rRNA from 1 species
AUGAACGCUGGCGGCGUGCCUAAUACAUGCAAGUCGAGCGAACGGACGAGAAGCUUGCUUCUCUGAUGUUAGCGGCGGACGGGUGAGUAACACGUGGAUAACCUACCUAUAAGACUGGGAUAACUUCGGGAAACCGGAGCUAAUACCGGAUGAUAUUUUGAACCGCAUGGUUCAAAAGUGAAAGACGGUCUUGCUGUCACUUAUAGAUGGAUCCGCGCUGCAUUAGCUAGUUGGUAAGGUAACGGCUUACCAAGGCAACGAUGCAUAGCCGACCUGAGAGGAUGAUCGGCCGCACUGGAACUGAGACACGGUCCAGACUCCUACGGGAGGCAGCAGUAGGGAAUCUUCGGCAAUGGGCGGAAGCCUGACGGAGCAACGCCGCGUAAGUGAUGAAGGUCUUCGGAGCGUAAAACUCUGUUAUUAGGGAGGAACAUAUGUGUAAGUAACUGUGCACAUCUUGACGGUACCUAAUCAGAAAGCCACGGCUAACUACGUG